ensembl:lncRNA
AUAUAUCUGUAUGAACAAAAUGGAAAACGUUGACUCAAUGAGAUUUAAAAUGUUAUAACAGUUAAUUUAUUAAUGUUUUGGCAUGAAUUCAUGAAACCUUUGAACAGUACUGUUUAACUUAGCUGAAUGAGACCAUUAGUGGUCUUCCGCUGCCAUCUAGUGGUUAUAAAAUGCAUUUACUCAAACAACACUGUGUUUUUAAACAUAACUGUUAUAGUGUUAUUUUUUUGCCCAAUCUUUCUUAAAUUUUGCAUGCUUGUUUAGAAUGAAAUUAUGCAUUAUUUUUACACAGUUUUGAUAAUUUGUGGGCUUUCUGUUUGUAUUAAUAGGCCUUUGUGUACACUAUGAAAAGAACAUAUUAAAAAAUUACUGGUUUAUAGUUGUCCAAAUGCAAAUGUUCAAAUUUUUUUUGGUAAAUAUUGACCUAGAUAAGCUAGAGAAUUCUACUGAAGUGGUUUUAUUGAUUUUCAGCUUAAAACCUUGAACUAGUUUGUUAAUUAGCUUAUUUCAUUUAUUUUAUAUAAUAUUUAAUUAACAGUUUUAUUGACAACAUUGGUCCCAGAGGCAAAGUUGUUCAGAAUGAGGAUAUCUAUCAUACGAUAUGAAGAUCUAGUGUUUGUGUGAAUAAAUGAGCAUUUUCAACCAAUUUGAGGCCAUUUACCAUAUAAAAUUUGUGUUUUUGAGACCUUUUCUACUGUUAUAGCGCCACCUAUGGUCCGAUCUCCAUGAAUCUUUGCAUGCUUGUUCAGAGUCAUCUGCCACAUGUUUUUACCAAGUUUCAUAAAGUUUUGACUAUUUGUUUUGGCUUUAUAGGCUUUGGGGUAUGUUUGGCCAAUCCCCUUUUCUAAAUUACCCCUUUAAAGCUAACCAAAGAACAAAAUUCAACAUUUUUUCGAUAAUUAUUGAUCUAGAGAGUCCAUAGAAUAUUACAGCAGUGGUUUGGUUCCGAUCGGGCGAAAAACCUAGGACUAGUUCGCAAAAGUAUGUUUUUAACAUAUUUGUGAAUAAUUCAUGAACGAUUUGACUGACAGUAAUGGUUCUUGAGGCAAAGUUGUGCAUUAUGAGGAGCUCUAUCAAAUGAUAUCCAUAUUGCAUGCAUAUGUGAAACACCACGUGAUUACAGAGCCAAAAAACUCGUUAGCGCCAACUAGUGGCCGAUUUCUUUCAAAAUUCUUACAGACCUUUAGGGCCAUGAGUCGAACAUGCCUACCAAGUUUCGUUCUGAUUGACCUCCGUUAACCUUGUCUAAUAAUAGCUCAAAUUUCAUUAGCCAAUGGCGGCCAUGUUUUUUGAGAUACGCCAAUGUCCUCAUAGAUAUUUGUGCCCCUUCAGACAAAGAAACUGCAUACCAAUUUUCAAGUCGAUCGGACCAACGGUUGCCUAGUUAUAGCCAUUUAUGUGUUUUUUCUGUCUUAUAGCGCCCCCAAGUGGCAGAGGUGCGCAAUUUUUUUUAUUUGACCAAAGAUUGAGCUUAUACAAAUGUGUACCGAGUUUGAUGAAGAUAUCUCAUUCCGUUCAAGAGUUAUAGCUAAA